UACGUAGGGUGCGAGCGUUAAUCGGAAUUACUGGGCGUAAAGCGUGCGCAGGCGGCUUUGCAAGACAGAUGUGAAAUCCCCGGGCUUAACCUGGGAACUGCAUUUGUGACUGCAUGGCUGGAGUGCGGCAGAGGGGGAUGGAAUUCCGCGUGUAGCAGUGAAAUGCGCAGAUAUCAGGAGGAACACCGGUGGCGAAGGCGGGUCUCUGGGCCGAUACUGACGCUGAGGAACGAAAGCGUGGGUAGCAAACAGG
rnacentral:rRNA from 1 species